GUGGGGAAUCUUGCGCAAUGGGCGAAAGCCUGACGCAGCCAUGCCGCGUGAGUGACGAAGGCCUUCGGGUUGUAAAGCUCUGUCCAGGGGGACGAAUGGUUCCGGAGAUAACAUCUCCGGGAAGUGACGGUACCCCUGAAGAAAGCACCGGCUAACUCUGUGCCAGCAGCCGCGGCAAUACAGAGGGUGCAAGCGUUGUUCGGAAUCACUGGGCGUAAAGCGCGUGUAGGCGGUGUUGCAAGUCGGGUGUGAAAUCCCUGGGCUUAACCGAGGAAUUGCGCUCGAAACUGCAGCACUGGAGUACGGGAGAGGGACGUGGAAUUCCUGGUGUAGAGGUGAAAUUCGUAGAGAUCAGGAGGAACACCUGCGGCGAAGGCGACGUCCUGGACCGAUACUGACGCUGAGACGCGAAAGCGUGGGGAGCAAACAGGAUUAGAAACCCCAGUAGUCC
rnacentral:rRNA from 1 species